GGGAUUACCUAGGUGUGUCUAAGGUGUUUUUUUGUUUUUUUUCUAAACACCUUAAACACACCCAGGUAAUCCCUA